rnacentral:lncRNA from 1 species
GUGUGUGUAUGGGUUUUCCUCACCUUCUCCUGAGAAAGGUUGUUUUUGAAUAAAUUCUAUGUAUUCGGGGUCUAUCUCAAAACUAGAUGCUAUGAUAGGCUUUGAAGAUUUUGGUGGUUCGAGAUGUGUGCCCAUAGGUCUAUGAAAUUCAUAGAUAGACAUGUUUGAAUUCAUAAUAGACCAGAGAUCAAGGAUUAGAUAAGAAGAAAGAUUAGCAGAGAUGAGGCAAAGGAUAAAAGGAAAAUAUAUUUUUUUUAUUUUUCUUUUAGAAAAUGAUUAAGCUAGUUCGUAGUCAACUCAGCAACCGUUUCCCCGGCAACGGCGUCAAAAAUGCUUGUUGACACUUGCUAACACCACUUGAAUACUAGGUUGUCAUCCCCAGC